rnacentral:rRNA from 1 species
GACGAACGCUGGCGGCGUGCUUAACACAUGCAAGUCGAACGGAAAGGCCCUGCUUUUGUGGGGUGCUCGAGUGGCGAACGGGUGAGUAACACGUGAGUAACCUGCCCUUGACUUUGGGAUAACUUCAGGAAACUGGGGCUAAUACCGUAUAGGAGCUCCUGCUGCAUGGUGGGGGUUGGAAAGUUUCGGCGGGUGGGGAUGGACGCGCGGCUGAUCGGCUUGCUGGUGGGGUAGUGGCUUACCAACGCUUUGACGGGUAGCCGGCCUGAGAGGGUGACCGGCCACAUUGGGACUGAGAGACGGCCCAGACUCCUACGGGAGGCAGUAGUGGGGAAUAUUGCACAAUGGGAGGAAGCCUGAUGCAGAAACGCCGCGUGCGGGAUGACGGCCUUCGGGUUGUAAACCGCUUUCGCCUGUGACGAAGCGUGAGUGACGGUAAUGGGUAAAGAAGCACCGGCUAACUACGUG